rnacentral:rRNA from 1 species
UACGUAGGGGGCGAGCGUUGUCCGGAUUCAUUGGGCGUAAAGAGCUCGUAGGCGGCUGAUCAAGUCGGGUGUGAAACCCUCAGGCUCAACCUGGGGCGGCCAUCUGAUACUGGUCUGGCUGGAGUCCGGUAGGGGACCACGGAAUUCCUGGUGUAGCGGUGAAAUGCGCAGAUAUCAGGAGGAACACCGAUGGCGAAGGCAGUGGUCUGGGCCGGUACUGACGCUGAGGAGCGAAAGCGUGGGGAGCGAACAGG